rnacentral:rRNA from 1 species
AUGACUAAAUUUCUUUCCAUAGCCAUCCUCAUAGCUUUUCUUCUCAGCCAUGGAAUCGACAUGGCCACAGCUUCAACAGUGUGGGGUGACCAAGAUUUCUUCAAACAGUGCCCAUGGUCCCGGUGCAGCAAAAAUGGGCCUGAGAUCCGGUUUCCGCUCCAACUUGAAUCCAGCAAUUCAUCAUGUGGAGCAACAUGCGUGAAGAUAGAAUGCUCUGGCCAAGACACUGUCCUACUUCACCCAUUUCUUGGCCCAUUCAAUGUCACUGCCAUAGAUUAUAGCCAUGCCACACUUAGCAUCGCCCCGCUUGUGCAAGCAUGCCAUAAAGUUCAGAAGUUCAUCUCGCAAAGUGUACCAGCCAACUCCAGCCAUCAGUGUAGUCUCUACGGUGAACCAGGAAAGCUUUUAGGCUGUUCAAGGGAGAUCCCGCCAAUUCACAAUUUUAUGGCUAGCCCAUUCUCCUGCCUUAGCAACGCAACCCACUUCUCAUAUUUGGUGAAUGCUAAACAACCCGUGUAUGUUCUUCCAUUGAACUGCAGAGUCAUCUCAGAUGUUGUCAUUCCGAUAUUAGGUAGCCCAGAGCUUUGGCAGCUGGAAGAAGAGGCCCAGAGAUUUUAUGAGAUGAAAGUCUGCUGGUAUACAGGGUCAUCAUCCGUUGCCUUCAACUGCACACGGUGCGAACAAGAUGGGCGACCCUGCGCAUUCAGCUCACAAAGGAAUCAAACAUUUUGUGUGCCUCAUCCUCACGGUUCACAUGUCAAAAUCAUUGCAGCUACAUCAUCAGGGGUUGCCUUUGUUGUUCUUGUGUUGAUGGUGGCUACCGCACUCUAUCUUUCACUGAAGACGACAUAUAACAGAGAGAUACAUUUGAAGGUUGAAAUGUUUCUCAAUACACAUGGAAAAUCAAAAACCACAAGGUACACUUUCUCUGAAGUUAAGAAGAUGUCGAGACGGUUCAAGGUUAACUUAGGACGUGGUGGAUAUGGAAGUGUAUACAAGGGCGAGCUACCAAAUGGAAUUCCUGUAGCUGUCAAGAUGCUAGAGAACUCUAUAGGAGAGGGACAAGAAUUCAUCAAUGAAGUUGCAACUAUUGGGCUAGUCCACCAUACAAAUAUUGUCCGCCUCCUGGGCUUUUGCUAUGAAGGAACAAGACGGGCUCUUAUUUAUGAAUUCAUGCCUAACGAGCCGCUGGAGAAAUACAUAUUCUCUCGCGACUCUAAUAUUUUUCAGACUCUCUUAGUACCUGAAAAAAUGCUAGAUAUUGCUUUAGGCAUUGCAAGAGGAAUGGAAUAUCUACAUCAAGGAUGCAACCAGCGCAUCCUCCACUUUGACAUCAAGCCUCACAACAUCUUGCUGGACUACAACUUCAAUCCGAAGAUUUCAGAUUUUGGCCUAGCAAAGCUGUGUGCCAGGGACCAAAGCAUCAUUACAUUAACUGCAGCAAGAGGCACAAUGGGCUAUAUUGCACCGGAGCUAUAUUCCCGGAACUUCGGGGGCAUAUCCCACAAGUCAGAUGUGUACAGUUUUGGCAUGCUGGUGUUGGAGAUGGUGAGUGGUAGGAGGACCUCAGACCCAAGGACUGAGAGCCAGAACGAGGUAUACCUCCCGGAAUGCAUCUAUGAGUUAGUUAUCGCUCGCCAGGACUUGGCGCUUACAGGGGACACGGCAGAAGAAGAGAAAGAAAAGGUUAGAAAACUAGCCACAGUGGCACUGUGGUGCAUCCAGUGGAACCCCAAGGAUCGUCCCUCGAUGACAAAAGUGGUAAACAUGUUGACAGGGAGGUUCCAGAAUCUACAGAUGCCCCCAAGGCCUUAUGUCCAAUCCGAAAAUCAUGCUAUCCCUUAA